UCAUAUGCUUGUCUCAAAGAUUAAGCCAUGCAUGUCUAAGUACAUACCGAAAGACGGUGAAACCGCGAAUGGCUCAUUAAAUCAGUUAUGGUUCAUUAGAUCGUACAUUUAUCCUACUUGGAUAACUGUGGUAAUUCUAGAGCUAAUACAUGCAAUCAAGCUCCGACCAUUCGCAUGGGACGAGCGCUUUUAUUAGAACAAGACCAAUAACGGAUUUCUUCUCCGCUUCUCUCUUCUCCUCUUCGCGGGGGAGUCGUCGGAGGGCGGCUGAGGUUCCGUUAACCCCAAUUGGUGACUCUGGAUAACUUUAAGCCGAUCGCACGGUCUCGCACCGGCGACGAGUCUUUCAAAUGUCUGCCUUAUCAACUGUCGAUGGUAGGUUACGCGCCUACCAUGGUUGUAACGGGUAACGGGGAAUCAGGGUUCGAUUCCGGAGAGGGAGCCUGAGAAACGGCUACCACAUCCAAGGAAGGCAGCAGGCACGCAAAUUACCCAUUCCCGGCACGGGGAGGUAGUGACGAAAAAUAACAAUACGGGACUCUUCCGAGGCCCCGUAAUUGGAAUGAGUACACUUUAAAUCCUUUAACCAGGAUCAAUUGGAGGGCAAGUCUGGUGCCAGCAGCCGCGGUAAUUCCAGCUCCAAUAGCGUAUAUUAAAGUUGUUGCGGUUAAAAAGCUCGUAGUUGGAUCUCGGUGCCGGACCGGCGGUCCGCUCUCUUUCAUUAGGGGCGGUUUUUACUGCCGGCUCCGGAGCCAAGCCGGCCGGUUCGUCCCUCGAUGCUCUUCGCCGAGUGUCCUGGGAGACCGGCACGUUUACUUUGAAUAAAUUAGAGUGCUCUAAGCAGGCGUUUCGACGCCCGAAUAACCCAGCAUGGAAUAAUGGAAAAGGGCCUCGGUUCUAUUCUGUUGGUUUUUUUUCGGAACCCGAGGUAAUGAUUAAUAGGGACAGACGAGGGCAUUCGUAUUGCGGCGCUAGAGGUGAAAUUCUUGGACCGCCGCAGGACGAACUACUGCGAAAGCAUUUGCCAAGAAUGUUUUCACUAAUCAAGAACGAAAGUUAGAGGUUCGAAGGCGAUCAGAUACCGCCCUAGUUCUAACCAUAAACGAUGCCAACCAGCGAUCCGCCGGAGUUCCUCCGAUGACCCGGCGGGCAGCUUCCCGGGAAACCAAAGUUUUUGGGUUCCGGGGGAAGUAUGGUUGCAAAGCUGAAACUUAAAGGAAUUGACGGAAGGGCACCACCAGGAGUGGAGCCUGCGGCUUAAUUUGACUCAACACGGGAAAACUCACCCGGCCCGGACACUGGAAGGAUUGACAGAUUGAGAGCUCUUUCUUGAUUCGGUGGGUGGUGGUGCAUGGCCGUUCUUAGUUGGUGGAGCGAUUUGUCUGGUUAAUUCCGAUAACGAACGAGACUCUAGCCUGCUAAAUAGACGACCGAUCCCGGGGUGCCGGCGCCUUCUCGUCUUGCGGCCGUUUCGCUCCCCUCUCGGGUUUCGCGUCGUUCUCUUUUCCCUUCCUCACAUCCGUCGCGGGGAGGCGGUGCGUGCGUUUCACUCGCGGUAGAUGUCGCGGAGUUGGCGGAAUAAGGCUGCCGCUCUCCCUUUCGGGGGUUGAGUGGGGUCCCGUCGCUCCGUUUCACUCUCGGGCGUACGCGCGCAUUCGUUUYUCCCUUCUUCGGGGACUGGGGCUCGAGGGAUCGAGGCGCGCGGGACUUUGCUGAGGGACCGGCGACGGUUGUCAUUUGCGCGAGUCGGCUGUCCGGCGUUGCCUCUGUCGGUCGAUCGCUUCUUAGAGGGACAAGCGGCGCUCAGCCGCACGAGAUUGAGCAAUAACAGGUCUGUGAUGCCCUUAGAUGUCCGGGGCCGCACGCGCGCUACACUGAAAGAAUCAACGUGCGUUAUCUCCCGAUCCGGAAGGAUCGGGUAACCCGUUGAACCUCUUUCGUGAUAGGGAUCGGGGCUUGAAAUUGUCCCCCGCGAACGAGGAAUUCCCAGUAAGCGCGAGUCAUAAGCUCGCGUUGAUUACGUCCCUGCCCUUUGUACACACCGCCCGUCGCUACUACCGAUUGAAUGGUUUAGUGAGGUCUUCGGACUGGCGGUCUCUGCGUCUUCUCUCUCGCGAGAGAGUCGCGGCGGUUCGGCCGGGAAGAUGACCGAACUUGACCAUUUAGAGGAAGUAAAAGUCGUAACAAGGUUUUC
rnacentral:rRNA from 1 species